rnacentral:rRNA from 1 species
CAAUAGCGUAUAUUAAAGUUGUUGCAGUUAAAAAGCUCGUAGUUGGAUUUGUGGCGUACGGUGGGUUCCGGGCACUUGUUGUCUGAGUAACUUGCUGUUGCCAUCCUUGGGUGGAACCUGUGUGGCAUUAGGUUGUCGUGCAGGGGAUGCCCAUCAUUUACUGUGAAAAAAUUAGAGUGUUCAAAGCAGGCUUAUGCCGUUGAAUAUAUUAGCAUGGAAUAAUGAGAUAGGACUUUUUUGCUAUUUUGUUGGUUUGCGCAAAGAGGUAAUGAUUAAUAGGGACAGUUGGGGGUAUUCGUAUUCCAUUGUCAGAGGUGAAAUUCUUGGAUUUCUGGAAGACGAACUACUGCGAAAGCAUUUACCAAGGAUGUUUUCAUUAA